UACGGAGGGGGCUAGCGUUGUUCGGAAUUACUGGGCGUAAAGCGCGCGUAGGCGGACCUGCAAGUCGGGGGUGAAAGCCCGAGGCUCAACCUCGGAACUGCCUUCGAUACUGCGGGUCUCGAGUCCGGGAGAGGUGAGUGGAAUUCCUAGUGUAGAGGUGAAAUUCGUAGAUAUUAGGAAGAACACCAGUGGCGAAGGCGGCUCACUGGCCCGGUACUGACGCUGAGACGCGAAAGCGUGGGGAGCAAACAGG
rnacentral:rRNA from 1 species